AGGUGUUGUCAAUCGGCAGGAGGUCUUUGAACUAGAGAAGAAAUGGAGAUGUGAGUCCCCUAUUUUGUGAAAACAAGGGGAAGGAAAGUCCCUUGUUUCACCAUGAGGAAAAAAAGAAAAUAAAAAAAGGAAAGAAAAAGAGAAAGAGAAAAAGAAGAAAAGAAAAGAAAAGAGAGUGCUUCUCUCUCUUCCCUUUCUCCC
rnacentral:lncRNA from 1 species